GGUUCUUCCGCAAUGCUAGUAGGUGAACCCCGCCAGGUCCGGAAGGAAGCAACGGUAGCUUAUGAUGCAUGUGCCGGAAUGUAGCUG
rnacentral:SRP_RNA from 1 species